UUUGUUUAUUUCUUCUUCAUUAGACGAAAAAUGUAUUAUGGGUAGUUGCAAAAACGGCAGAAGUAGGAGAGUUUGGGAGUUGACAAAACCCAAGUUUAGAUCAGGUGCCAAAAAGGGGGAAGAACAGAUGAAGAUCAUUUUUUGGGUGUGUUUAGUGUUUGUGAUUACUAAAGUUGGUGCUUUGUCUGAAGAACCCCAGCUUAGUUCUGCUCGUGUUGUCUUCCAGACAAAUUAUGGAGACAUUGAAUUUGGAUUCUUUCCAAGUGUUGCACCCAAAACUGUUGAUCACAUUUUUAAGCUUGUUCGUCUUGGUUGCUAUAACACCAAUCACUUCUUCAGGGUGGACAGGGGCUUUGUUGCCCAAGUGGCAGAUGUUGCAGGUGGAAGAUCAGCUCCCAUGAAUGAGGAGCAAAGAAGGGAGGCUGAAAAGACUAUUGUUGGUGAAUUUAGUAAUGUAAAGCAUGUGAGAGGUAUUCUUUCUAUGGGGAGGUAUUCUGAUCCAGACAGUGCACAAUCCUCAUUUUCAAUGCUUCUUGGAGAUGCCCCUCAUCUUGAUGGGCAGUAUACAAUUUUUGGUAAAGUCACUAAAGGUGAGGAGACUUUGAGAAAGCUUGAGGAACUUCCUACUCGCCGUGAGGGGAUCUUUGUAAUGCCUAAGGAGCGCAUCACGAUUCUGUCAUCCUACUAUUAUGUUACAUAAACCAUUCCAGAGACAAGAAUUUAAUCACUAUAUUGCCUUUGAAAAUGCUUGCGUGGAUAUUGUCAAGCAGGUGAUAUGAUAUUGUUAUCAGGUAGUUCUCCCAAGAUGUGAAAUUAGUAAUUAUGUUGGGCAUCAUCAACAAAAUAUUAGGUAAAAAGAAUGCAUUAUGACUGCAUGUAGUUUUUCCUUGUUUUGGGUUUUCUUGAUGUCACAAGCACUUAAUAUACUACAAAAUUACUGAGCUCAGUCCCUUUUUUUUCCCCAGUAUAUAUUUGGAUGAGGAAUGGAAGGUUGCAUUUACACCAUUCAAUUGUACUACCCCUCCACCAGGAAGAGAACCGAAAAUCUUCAGAUUACAAAAACAUAUCCUGGUAUCAUAAGAUAAGCCAUUAUGGGAUCUUGGAACAACCCACUGACCCUUUUAUUACCUAAAGAAAAAUCAAUCACAUCCUACUUCUGGAAAACCCAUAUUUGGUUGCUAAUAUUUGAGAUUGGUUACCAAAGAAAUGGAGAGAAGUAUAAAAGUAAAUGGAAGAAAUAGAACGUGUUGUUCUAUUAAGAAAUUUCCCUUUUGGGAUCAUAAGGUCAAAAUUUUGGGUGAUCUGUGAUGACUAGAGAGAUCAAUUCUUGAUGACAUCAAAAUGGUUCCAAUAGAGGAUGAUGGUUAGAUUGAUGACAAUCUGGUGUAAUGGAGUUUUCACUUUCCAAUCUAAAAAUUCCUUGGACAAGGGCUACGUAUCGGCAUGGUAUAAUUGGACGGUGUAAUGAUGGGUUUUAGGCCUCAAUCCAAAUAGAAUUCAAAGACACACAGACGUGUUCAGAAUAGUUUUCAUUUUCACCUUCUUAUAAAAACUUUUAUUCUGUUUAAAGAUUUAGAGCUAUUGCAUGAUGCAUUUUAAUAUUAAGUCCAUAUCUUGUUUUCAAAGUAGUAGUCCAUAGGAUCUGACAAGCUAUGCCUGGGAGAAUCAUUCUAGUAACUAGGUUCACUGUGCUGCUGCUAGAAGAAUCCUAAGACAUCAAAUUGCUUAGCCUGGUUGAUUCAGUGCAUCUGUCAUGAAACUUUUAUUUUGGAACUUGACUAAGUGGUUUCUAGAAGUAAACUUUAAUUCAUGGAUCAAGGCAAUCAACUUACUGGUUUUUUAUGAUGACAAUUCUUAGCCUAGAAAUGUGAGAUCAACUUAAACACAAUUCAUAUGCUUGCUUGGCAUGAGGUCUCGUCUUUGUCCAUUUAUUUGUUGCUCAACUGAACAAUUAAUUACUGGCCCAAAGAAAAACCAAACAAUUUAUUGUAUAUGACUGAAAUGGACUAAUAACUUGUAGUAUUACUAUAUGGAGAUGACAACCUAAUUGCUAUUUGAAUCAUUCGUAUAUACUGUUGUUAUUCUGUCAUUUUGGAUACCUUUCAGCUCAUUUAUUCAGCUAGAAGCUAGUGGGCAUAUAAGAGCAGUAUUGUGUGUGAGUAUAUGCUUUUAAAAGAGGGGUAAAGAGGGGGAGGAGUAACCUUCUUGAAUGCAAAAUUUUAUGAGCCUCACCUGAUAAUAGAUGGUUGCGACAUCAAAGGGGCAGCAUACUGCUUGUGACUUCCGCAUUUUUGAUCUGGGAUUUCUGGAUAUACUCAGUCUUAUGUCACUUGUAGACUGGCUGUUCCACCACUGGAGCCUGUGACUUCUAGGUCAAAAUGGAGCAACCUUAGCUUUGCACAAUGGCUUGUUCUCGUUGUCAGACAUUGUGGCCUGUGUAAUAAUCUAUGAAGGUUAAUAGCAUCGGGUGUGUCUGCGUAUGCAGCAGGAAGAUUAAAGUUAUUACUUAUAACUGAUUGACAACAAUACCACAUGCCAAUGCACAAUAUACUGAGAUGGAGAGCUGUGAAAAAGAGAGGGGUAUCUUGAAGCGAAGGCUUGCUGCAUCUGCUGUUGAAAUUGAAAGACAGCGAAUGAAAUGCUUCCCUUGAAUUUCUAAGCAACAGCUGGAUCAGCAAGGAGAAGGCUAUGAUUCACAUAGGUUGCAAAGACGUUCUGGGUGUUGUAUAAAGUCAGAGACAGCAUUGCAGAUGCGGAAUUCUGGUAGAAAAACAGUGACCAACAUGCGUUCUAUACUCUGUACCUAGCCGUUCCAAACAAAGGAUGGUAAAAGAAAGAAAGAAAGUGUAUCUUGACCUUAAUCUGUUUAUAGCUUCUUCUUGUGCCGAGGAUUGGCUGUUGUGAUAAUGAUUGGUUGUUGACGUAGUGAAGUUCUGUCACUUUCUGGUCCUAAUAAUAACCCUAUGAAACUAAGAGAGUGGUGUACAUUGUAUUAGCCCGGAUGAAUGAAACCAACACAUUGGUGUCUGGGGAAAUUUCAAAAUUUGUAAAUCAGGUUCACAUCUUUUCCUUUAAUAAAAUGGUCCUGAGAGUGAGUAAUUCCCACUGGCAAGGAAUUUGCAGGCAGUCUCUUGAGAACGGUUGUCAUUUGUUAUUGCAGAAAAGAUUGAAACCCAAUUUUGAU